rnacentral:rRNA from 1 species
UACGUAGGGUGCAAGCGUUGUCCGGAAUUAUUGGGCGUAAAGAGCUCGUAGGCGGUUUGUCGCGCCUGCUGUGAAACCCGAGGCUCAACCUCGGGCCUGCAGUGGUACGGGCAGACUAGAGUGCGGUAGGGGAGAUUGGAAUUCCUGGUGUAGCGGUGGAAUGCGCAGAUAUCAGGAGGAACACCAAUGGCGAAGGCAGAUCUCUGGGCCGUAACUGACGCUGAGGAGCGAAAGCAUGGGGAGCGAACAGG